UGCUUAAUGGAAGUUUUUCUUCAUUUUAUUUAUUAUAUGGAAAGAAUUAGCAAGCUAUCUGCUUCGUUCUUUUUUUUUGAGAAAUAAACUCAGCCAGAAAUGUGAAUUAAAUAGGCUUCGACUUUGAGAUAUCGAGUAUCAAUCAUUAAAUUCUUAGUCAACUGUAUUAGGUAUGAUAGGUUUAAUGAAAGUUUUUUAUGGGUGCAUUUUUGCCCGAAAUUAGUGUUGUGUAGGAAAUAAAUGUGU
rnacentral:lncRNA from 1 species